rnacentral:piRNA from 1 species
UGUUACUUCUUUAGGUCGCCUGCCUC